GACGAACGCUGGCGGCGUGCCUAAAACAUGCAAGUCGAACGGUGAAGGGGACUUCGGUUCCCGGAUCAGUGGCGUACGGGUGAGUAACACGUGAGAAAUCUGCCGUGCUGUGGGGGAUACCCAUUGGAAACGAUGGUUAAUCCCGCAUAGUGCGCCGGGACCUCCCGGGUCUGGGCGGGAAGCCGUAAGGCGAAGUACGAGGAUCGCGCGUACUAUCAGCUAGUUGGUGAGGUAACGGCUCAGCAAGGCGACGACGGGUAGCCGGCGUGAGAGGGUGAUCGGCCACACUGGGACUGAGACACGGCCCGGACCCCUACGGGGGGCAGCAGUUGGGAAUCUUGCGCAAUGGGGGAAACCCUGACGCAGCGACGCCGCGUGCGGGAUGACGGUCUUCGGAUUGUAAACCGCUUUUUUCGGGGACGAUAAUGACGGUACCCGAGGAAUAAGCCCCGGCUAACUCCGUGCCAGCCGCCGCAGUAAGAC
rnacentral:rRNA from 1 species